ACGCUACUCCCGAAUCCAGACCCAUUCGACAGAUUGGAUAGGGAUAACGGCUGUUUGGCACAGCCAGCAGUGUGUUCGUUCGACGCUACGGAUGGUCAAUUCCAUCCACAAGAGCGGGCGCAUUGCGAACCCUAAUAUCCCACCGCCGGUAGGGAAUCCUCGCCUUUCAGGGCGGGGA
rnacentral:ncRNA from 1 species